GAUGAACGCUGGCGGCGUGCCUAAUACAUGCAAGUCGAGCGAACGGACGAGAAGCUUGCUUCUCUGAUGUUAGCGGCGGACGGGUGAGUAACACGUGGAUAACCUACCUAUAAGACUGGGAUAACUUCGGGAAACCGGAGCUAAUACCGGAUAAUAUUUUGAACCGCAUGGUUCAAAAGUGAAAGACGGUCUUUCUGUCACUUAUAGAUGGAUCCGCGCUGCAUUAGGUAGUUGGUAAGGUAACGGCCUACCAAGGCAACGAUGCAUGACCGACCUGAGAGGGUGAUCGGCCACACGGGAACUGAGACAGGGUCCAGACUCCUACGGGAGGCAGCAGUAGGGAAUCUUCCGCAAUGGGCGAAAGCCUGACGGAGCAACGCCGCGUGAGUGAUGAAGGUCUUCGGAUCGUAAAACUCUGUUAUUAGGGAAGAACAUAUGUGUAAGUAACUGUGCACAUCGUGACGGUACCUAAUCAGAAAGCCACGGCUAACUACGUG
rnacentral:rRNA from 1 species